AUAUUUAACCUGGCAGGGGAGAUACCAUGAUCACGAAGAUGGUUCUCCCAGGGCAUUGCACUCUAGAUGCGCUGACCCCCGUGAUUUCCCCAAAUGUGGGAAACUCAACUGCAUAAUUUGUGGUACUGGGGGACUUCAUUUGUGCUCUUUCCUG
ensembl:snRNA U1 U1 spliceosomal RNA